rnacentral:rRNA from 1 species
CUAACAAGGAUUCCCCUAGUAACUGCGAGUGAAGCGGGAAAAGCUCAAAUUUAAAAUCUGGUGGUCUCUGGCCAUCCGAGUUGUAAUCUAGAGAAGUGUUACCCGCGUCGGACCGUGUAUAAGUCUCCUGGAAUGGAGCGUCAUAGAGGGUGAGAAUCCCGUCUUUGACACGGACUACCGAGGCUUUGUGGUAUGCUCUCAAAGAGUCGAGUUGUUUGGGAAUGCAGCUCAAAAUGGGUGGUAAAUUCCAUCUAAAGCUAAAUAUUGGCGAGAGACCGAUAGCGAACAAGUACCGUGAGGGAAAGAUGAAAAGAACUUUGGAAAGAGAGUUAAACAGUACGUGAAAUUGCUGAAAGGGAAACGCUUGAAGUCAGUCGCGUUGGCCGGGAAUCAGCCUUGCUUUUUGCUUGGUGUACUUUCUGGUUGACGGGNCAGCAUCAGUUUUGACCGGUGGAAAAAGUUCAGGGGAAUGUGGCAUCUUCGGAUGUGUUAUAGCCCUUGUUCGUAUACAUCGGUUGGGACUGAGGAACUCAGCACGCCGCAAGGCCGGGUCUUUGACCACGUUCGUGCUUAGGAUGCUGGCAUAAUGGCUUUAAUCGACCCGUCUUGAAACACGGACCAAGGAGUCUAACAUGCCUGCGAGUGUUUGGGUGGAAAACCCGAGCGCGUAAUGAAAGUGAAAGUCGAGAUCCCUGUCAUGGGGAGCAUCGACGCCCGGACCUGACGUUUUCUGACGGCCCUGCGGUAGAGCAUGUAUGUUGGGACCCGAAAGAUGGUGAACUAUGCCUGAAUAGGGUGAAGCCAGAGGAAACUCUGGUGGAGGCUCGUAGCGAUUCUGACGUGCAAAUCGAUCGUCAAAUUUGGGUAUAGGGGCGAAAGACUAAUCGAACCAUCUAGUAG